UUUAUAUGUCUCUGCUUAUUGCAAAAGCUCGUUACGACCUAGGGACAAAAAAAGAAGAGUUGUUUUUUGUUUUUUUUUCCCACACUGACUGGAGACUCUAAUGUCAGUGUGUUUAAGCUGCCUCAGAACCAAAGAUGAACAGAUGAAGGUAUCGCUUCGCAGAACAAGACAGGGAUGGAUACCGUCUGCAACCAGUUGCUCCUGGGAAGGUAUGAGAUUAAUGAUUUUACCAACAUGAUGAAUGGCUGAGAUGGGUGAUGACAGGCUUUGAGUGACAGGUUACAGGUGCACACCGUCCCAAUUCCCAAAACUCUUAAAGUCAAAUGCUACCAGCUCUCUCUGUCUUUCUUCUUCUCAGGAAACAAGUACGAC